CAGGAAGUCAGUAGUGUCGUCGGAGCAGUUCGCUGAGAGAGAAGUGGUUGUUGACGGUCUAUCAUCGCAGCCCGUGUCACGAAGUGGAGGGAGGGAAGUGAGAGGGCUGACCGACAACCGGAGCAGCCCUGACGACCGCUAGGCCCUGCACCCACGCCGGGUUGCUGUCACAACUUGGAAACACAAGUACUCGUUACUUUCGUAUCGUUACUCGUUACUUCUGAUACCGCAUGACAUGGCACAUGCUAUGUUAUGUAACGGCAUCGAAUCGAGUCGUAUUUCGUACGUGUACAGUAUGACGUCGCGUAAAUAAAAAUAAAUCGAAUAUAAACAAUUAAAAAUAUUUGAUAAUUAACAGCUUUUGUUAACCAAGAAACAAUUAACUCUCAUUAAAGCGGCUUUAUUAUAAUAUAUAUUUUAAGAUAAGAACAUAAAACGUGAAAAUACGCGAUUAUAAAAAACAAAAACAUACAUAUUUAUAAUUUGUAAAAAAUACUUUCUUACGUUGUUUCUGUUCGAAUCUAAAACUUUGUCUACACACACAAUACCUUUAAUAAACAGUAAAAAACUUGGACGACGAAUUUCCAAAUUAUACUUUUAUUAAUAAACAAACAUCUUUCUUUGUAACGAAUACGCGCGCGCAUGCGUGAAACAUACGAAAGAUGCGAGUAACGAAAUGCAUUCGUGUGUAACGUUUCGUUACUCGUUACUAGAUGCCGCACCCGUUACUCAGUAACGAAUACAUACGGUUUGCUACAGCUCUAGUGACUCCACCCACGCGGAGCAGGCUGCUGACGCCAGAGGAGCAAGUGCAGGCAGCUGACCGCCUGGAGGUGCAGACUGGGAGAAGCAGCUACAUUGCUACAGGGUGAGAACAGCCCCAACACACAUCGACGACCACCGGGGGACAGACGGAAAUCGGCAUCAACGUUUUUCCUGCCAGCGGUCGCUGAAAGAUGGACCGACUUGUUCCGCACGGGUCUCUGACGGUCUCCGGACAGCGUGGUCGCCGUGAACAAAGGCCCAGUCGAGCUGCCGACUACAGGACAGCCCAGUGAGAAACGCAACCGGCACUGGAGGUGAAGACUGCCGGGCGAGACGUUACCUUUGGACAUAGGAGAAUGUCCUCACUUGUGUCUUCGAGGAAGACCACUGCCUCGCCGAAGCUCCGGACAGUUACCUGCCACAUGAUGUUACGCUGCUUGGGACGCCGCUUACGAAGAUUGGUUAUGGAGCAGAAGUAGUCGGCUGUUGCACUGAGAAAGAUUUACAAGAGGCCCUUGCAGUCGGGAAGCCGACUACGACUACUUCUGCAGAGACUCGUGAAGAAUCCCGCCGGCAGUAGACAGCUGGGCACCCACACAGGAGUUGGGCUUUUAAGUUCUACUUUAUUCAUCAGGCGAGUUACAGGGUCGAAGGCAUCAAAAGUUACGCGCCGUUUGUACAUCUACAUUAUGUGUAGUUUUAAUUUACAUUUUAAAUAUUGUCUUGCCUUUAAAAUUAUAUGGGCUUUUAAGUAUUGAUUAAAAUCGGAUCAUAUUGGCCAUUUGUUUAGUGUCAUUAGUUCAGGGAUUUUUAUUUGAUAAUUUUUACUGUCGGUGACAAAUGCUAAAUUUUAUAAUUUUGUGAAUUCAUUUUUUUGAAGACUGUACUUGUGCCUCUUUUCUUAUGUUGCAGUUGAUUACCUUGCAAAAUUAGAAUGUAGCAUCUCAUGUUAGUAGAGCCUGUAGACCAUUAUGUAGACUGAUAUCGUGGAUGUGUCUUACGUUCACAUUAGUUACUCUUGAUGUUGGAGUAAAGGUAGGCUUUGCAUCAUUUGCCCACUACGAUGAUUCUACUACUAAGUUAUACAAAUCGUUUAGAAGUGAUUGAUUAACCAAUUGGGCCCUAUACAUGACCAACAUCAAUAAAAUUAUAAAAAAAAAACCAUGCACAAAAGCACCUUUUUUUAAAGUAAGAAAACUUUAUGCAAUUAAAACAUUGCAAAAUUUCCUGGUAAAGUCUCAAAUAUUAAAAAAUGCUUAGAUUUAUUCGUUGCGUGAGUAUGCAGAUUUAAUAUGUUCAUAGGGUGUCCACAUUCUGGUAAUUCUGGAAAAAUAUUUGAAAUCUUGGAAAAUAUCAUGCUCUAGUGUCUAGACUACCAUUUUCCAGACUGUUGGUACACUGUGAAAAAAAGACUAUAAACUGGUGUGUGCAAGGUUCUUUUAGAUAAAAAUGAGACUAGCUAUGGGUUUGGCAUAGCUGAAUUUUUUCCCUAUAUUCCAGAGAAUUGCGAAAUAGGUAAAUAAUUUAAAGGAGUUAGUCGGAGGGAUGUACAUUUUGGGGAAAUUUAUUUGGUCUGUUACAAAGUAAG